UACGGGGGGAGCAAGCGUUGUUCGGAUUUACUGGGCGUAAAGGGCGCGUAGGCGGUCAGCACAAGUCACUUGUGAAAUCUCCGGGCUUAACCCGGAGCGGCCAAGUGAUACUGUCGUGCCUAGAGUGCGGAAGGGGCUACUGGAAUUCUCGGUGUAGCGGUGAAAUGCGUAGAUAUCGAGAGGAACACCUGCGGCGAAGGCGGGUAGCCUGGGCCGACACGUGACGCUGAGGCGCGAAAGCCAGGGGAGCGAACGGG
rnacentral:rRNA from 1 species